UUCUCAGCUCCUUUCUAUUUAGGUAGGGUCACACCAAAGCACAGAAGAGUCAGCGUGUGGACCCAUCGGCUGUGUCUUUCCCUGCCAGGGAGUUUGAGAAGGCCACUGUUCCAGAGAGUGGAGCCUUAAUCAGCCUGAAUCACUGAGUAACCUGCAUGGAGCCGACCCUGCUGCCAGCCCCCUGGAGACAUACAGUGGGAGUGAGAAGCAUUGUGAGAUCUCAGAGCUGUUUGUUACAGCAGCACAACCAAGCCUAUCCUGGCUAUUACACAGGGUCACCCUCACCUCCCUGGGCCUCUGUUUCCUCAUCUAUAAGGACUGAAGCUCUGCCUGAAGGGACAUCCGCCAUCAUGUGACCAUAGGGACGAAGGCACCCUGUUGAGGAUGACAAAGCUGAAAGGACCCUGGUCCCUGAUAACCUUGCUCCAACCCUAGAACCUUGACCAGCUGUGGCUUCCUGACAUCUGGACUUCUUGUCAUUUGAGGAAAAAAGUCCAAAACCCUAUUUACUUAA